rnacentral:rRNA from 1 species
UACGGAGGAUCCAAGCGUUAUCCGGAUUUAUUGGGUUUAAAGGGUGCGUAGGCGGAUUAUUAAGUCAGUGGUGAAAGCCUGCAGCUUAACUGCAGAACUGCCAUUGAUACUGAUGAUCUUGAGUACAGUUGAGGUGGGCGGAAUGUGUCAUGUAGCGGUGAAAUGCUUAGAUAUGACACAGAACACCGAUUGCGAAGGCAGCUCGCUAAACUGUAACUGACGCUGAGGCACGAAAGCGUGGGGAUCAAAC